rnacentral:rRNA from 1 species
AAGGGCCAUCGCUCAACGGAUAAAAGGUACUCCGGGGAUAACAGGCUGAUUCCGCCCAAGAGUUCAUAUCGACGGCGGAGUUUGGCACCUCGAUGUCGGCUCAUCACAUCCUGGGGCUGUAGUCGGUCCCAAGGGUAUGGCUGUUCGCCAUUUAAAGUGGUACGUGAGCUGGGUUUAAAACGUCGUGAGACAGUUUGGUCCCUAUCUGCAGUGGGCGUUGGAAGUUUGACGGGGGCUGCUCCUAGUACGAGAGGACCGGAGUGGACGAACCUCUGGUGUACCGGUUGUGACGCCAGUCGCAUCGCCGGGUAGCUAAGUUCGGAAGAGAUAAACGCUGAAAGCAUCUAAGCGUGAAACUCGCCUGAAGAUGAGACUUCCCUAGGGAUUAAAUCCCUCUAAAGAGACGUUCGAGACCAGGACGUUGAUAGGUCGGGUGUGGAAGAGUGGUAACACUUGCAGCUAACCGAUACUAAUUGCUCGUGAGGCUUGACUCUAU